CUUUCUUUCUCAGCCUUUCGCCUGUUCUUCUAUUUCUCUCCCCCGAUUCCCUUUUCUUUCCCAAUUCCCUUUUCUUUCCCGAUUCCCUUUCUUUGAUUUCCCGAAACCCUAAACACCGAGUUUCCCGACGCCUAGCCACUCUACCCAGCGGCGAACUCAGUCUUAGCAAGGAUGAGUCACUUUUAUGUCAAGCUUUAGCAUUGAAUGAUGAUUUGCAACGCGUACUAGCAAGGCAUGAAGCAAUAGCUUCAGGAACUCCUUCUCAAGCAAACAAACCUAAGCCUGAACCUGCAAAAGAACUUGUGAAUGUCGAUAGUCCACUAAUUGAUACUGGAGACAGUAGCAAGCAGUCUGAGGGGAGAUCCACUUCAAGCACUGUUACAAGUUCACCAUUUAAUCAGUUACUGCUUCCUGCUCCUCCUGCAACUAUUGGUUCAACUCAAGCUGCCAUUUAAUCACAGUGGCAUUCCAGGGGUUUUGGUUUGGGGAACAUUUAAGUUUGGGUUUGGAGAUACGUAGUUAUCAGCAUUAGUUGGCAGAUAACACUGUCCCAGUGCAGGUUGCAGUUCUUUGCCAAGACUUCAAGAACUACGAAAUUGAUAAGAGCUGGAUGAAUUUGUCAAGGGUAAGCAACGACUAUCGAAAUGGAGUACAAACUUUUCUAAAUUUUGCAUUUCAAAAUGCAAGCCAAGAGAAUAUGAUUCUUUUCCCAUGUAAUAAGUGUGGCAACAUCAAUUGACAUAUUCGUUAAGUUGUCUAUGAAUAUCUAAUUGUUCAUGGCUUUAUUCAGGGGUAUAAAAAUUGGAUUUUUCAUGGAGAGUGUACACCUCGUAGAACCUUUUCAAUGAUUAACCCGACUUAUCCUCAUAAUGCUUACCAUCAGUCUGUUAAAUAAGAUGACAUGAAAGGUAUGUUGUGGGAUUCAUUUAAUAUGCGUAGUCAUGAUUUGCAAUCGUUUCCACCUGAAAUUAUUGCAUUCGAUGAUUAUGAUAUUGGUGGAAAGGCUUUUACCAAAACGGGAAGAAGUGUACCUGAUGAAGAGCCAAAUGGAGAAGAGGCGAAGUUCUACAAGUUACUUAAUGAAAUGAAUGAAGAACUUUAUGAGGAAUCAAAAUUUUCAAAAAUGUCCUUCUGCAUUCGUCUUUUUCACUUAAAAUGUUUGGGAGCGUGGACCGGAAACUCUUUAACACUGCUGUUAGAGUUUUUGAGAGAUGUUUCCGUUUGCGGAAAUUCCUCAUUCAUGCAAAGAUUUGAAGAAAUUGAUAAAAGAUUUAGGCUUUGGUACGAAAAAAUUCAUAGUUGCCCAAAUGACUGCAUGGUGUAUUUGGGUGAUCGGAAAAUCUUGUCAUAUUUGCGGUAAAUCUCGUUGGAUGAAUAGGAAUACAGAGGAUAUGAAUGAGGAUGAAUGUGAGGCACAGUCAAGAAAGAAGCCAAUAAAGAUUUUGCGAUAAUUUCCACUAAUACCAAAGCUUCAAAGGCUUUUCAUGUCGUCAAAGACAGUCGAGUCUAUGAGGUGGUAUCAUGAUUAACUAACCGACAAUUGAUUAUUAAGGCAUCCUGUAGAUUCUUUAGCUUGGAAAUCAUUUGACAGUAAAUUUCCAAGCUUUGCAAGUGAUCUUCGGAAUGUGAGGCUUGGGCUAGCAUCUGAUGGAUUUAAUCCUUUUAAAAUCAUGAGUACUUAGUACACUACUUGGCCUAUAGUGCUUGUUCCUUACAAUUUGCCUCAGUGGAUUUGAAUGAAGUAAUCUUCUUUUAUCUUAUCUAUGAUUAUCUCUAGAGAGAAAGGUCCCAGAAAUGAUAUUGACAUUUAUAUGCAGUCACUUAUUGAAGAGUUGAAAUAGUUAUGGGCGGGUGUUGAGAUAUAUGAUGUCUUGAAAAAGGAGAAAUUUUAUUUACGUGCAGCUUUGUUGUGAACUAUUAAUGAUUUUUCGGCUUAUGUCAAUUUAUCUGGUUGGAGUACCAAAGGAUGAUAUGCUUGUCCUUGUUGUGUGGCGCAAACAUAUUCGAAGUGGUUAUAUAAUGGGAAUAAGUUCUCUUAGAUGGGGUAUCGUCGGUGGUUAGAUGAAAAUCAUAGAUUUAGAUUUCAGAGGACUUUAUUUGAUGGUACUAAAGAGUUCAGAGAAGCUCUUGAGCAGACCAUUGUAUCUGAAAUCUUGUUCAUGUUAAAAGAUAUCAAUUUCAGUUAUGAGAAGAUGAAUCAACCACCCAACACGCAAAUAAAGAGAAGAUCGAAGGAGGCGUAUAUUGGCGAUGUUGACCGACAGAUUGAUGAUGAAUCUGAUGAAGAGGAUGAUCUUAAUGAGGCGGACUUGUGGAAAAAAAGGAAGUAUUUUUUUGAGUUGCCUUAUUGGGAGUAUCAUAUUUUGCGACACAAUCUUGAUGUCAUGCAUAUUGAAAAGAAUGUUUGCGAGAACAUUAUUGAGACAAUUCUGAAUGUCGAUAGAAAAUCAAAAUACAAUCUUCAAAGUCGAUUUGAUCUAGUUGACCUGGAAAUUCGCGUGAUCUUCAUCCCUAAGUGCUUCCAAAUGGGAAAUAUCAGUUGUCGCCUUUUAUUUUUGCAAUGUCAAAGAAAGAAAAAGAAGUGUUCUGCACGGUGUUGAAGAAUAUAAAAGUCUCAGAUGUGUAUGCAUCAAAUAUAUCUCGAUAUGUGAGUCUUAAAGAUCAAAAAUUAUAUUCCCUAAAAUCACAUGAUUAUCAAAUCUUGAUGCAAGAUUUACUGCCAGUUGCUUUACGGUGUUGUAUGUCAAAAAAGGUGAUGUCCUGUAUAAUUGAACUAUCCAAUAUAAUGAAAGCUAUUUGUGACAAAGUUUUGAUUGUUGAAGAACUUGAGAAAUUACAAGAUCGAGCCGCCUUGACUUUAUGCAAUUUGGAGAAGAUCUUUUCUCCAUUCUUCACUAUUAUGGUGCACUUGCUAAUCCAUCUCCCUCAUAAAGCAAAACUCGUUGGACCGGUUUUCUAUCGGUGGAUGUAUCCUAUAGAAAGGUGUUAAUUUAUUUUUAAAGUUUUCAUUCAUUCAUGAAUAUACCUUUAGUUACAACUUUUGAUAAUGCUGUAUAUCGUGUUUAGGUUCCUAUGUAAGUUGAAGUCUUAUUGUCGUAAUAAGUGUUAACCAGAAGGAUUAAUUGUUGAAGGUUACUUGGCAGAGGAGUGUAUGACUUUCUGUUCUAGAUAUUUAGAAGAUGUUGAAACAAGACUGAAUAGAUCAAGUAGAAAUGAUGGGUUCACUAAUCAUAACUUAACUGAAAUUUAUUUAUUUCGAAGUUACGGAGAACCAAUCGGUAAAGUUGAAAUUGCACAUUUAGAUGAUAAAUCUUUGGUACAAGCACAUCGAUAUGUUCUUUUUCACCACGAUUUAAUUGAACCAUUACGCAAGUAAGUUUUAGAAUUUGAUAAAUAUUCAUCUUUUUAAUUUGUUUGCCUUUUAACCAAGUAAUCCACUUUUUAACAUAGCGAGUACAAAUAAGUGUUGAGAUCUCGUUCACGCUCCCGAAGAUUACAACAUCGAGAGAUUUGUAAGUUAUUCACAAAAUCUUUUCAUGAAUGGUUAGGACAAAUGGUAUGCAACUGAAGUUUUCAUUGACAAAUAAUAAUAUUUUCUCAUAAUAUUUAUAAUUAAUCAAUUU